UACGGAGGGUGCGAGCGUUGUCCGGAAUUAUUGGGCGUAAAGAGCUCGUAGGUGGUUUGUCGCGUUGUCCGUGAAAACUCACAGCUCAACUGUGGGCGUGCGGGCGAUACGGGCAGACUGGAGUACUGCAGGGGAGACUGGAAUUCCUGGUGUAGCGGUGGAAUGCGCAGAUAUCAGGAGGAACACCGGUGGCGAAGGCGGGUCUCUGGGCAGUAACUGACGCUGAGGAGCGAAAGCGUGGGGAGCGAACAGG
rnacentral:rRNA from 1 species